rnacentral:rRNA from 1 species
AUGUUUCCAGAUGCACUAGACCAUCUUCACAAUAAUAGUCGGCCAUCAGUAAUUCACUGCGAUUUGAAGCCUGGCAACAUCCUCCUUGACAGUGACUGGACUGCCAAGGUUGCCGACUUUGGGCUUUCAGAAAUCAUCGACCCGACUCUGCUAAAGGUCCAGCCAGACGACGAUGAUGAUACAAGGUUGAACAAUGCAUUAGUUUGCUUAGCUUCUGUUGUAAGAGUCGGCAUCUUGUGCUCAAAGGAAACACCAUCUGAGAGAAUGAACAUGAAAUAUGUUGCCGCUGAACUGCACAGUAUCAGAGACAGAAUCAAAGGUGCGGCCAUGGAAUCCUCUUCCCCACAAAUGGAAUCCUCUGACAAGGAAUGCCCUUAG